CUUAGGACCUCUGGAAGAACAGC
rnacentral:piRNA from 1 species